GGAGGAAAAGAACUAACAAGGAUUCCCCUAGUAACUGCGAGUGAAGCGGGAAAAGCUCAAAUUUAAAAUCUGACAGUCUCUGGCUGUCCGAGUUGUAAUCUAGAGAAGUGAUGCCCGCGCUGGACCGUGUACAAGUCUCCUGGAAUGGAGCGUCAUAGAGGGUGAGAAUCCCGUCUCUGACACGGACUACCAGGGCUUUGUGGUACGCUCUCAAAGAGUCGAGUUGUUUGGGAAUGCAGCUCAAAAUGGGUGGUAAAUUCCAUCUAAAGCUAAAUAUUGGCGAGAGACCGAUAGCGAACAAGUACCGUGAGGGAAAGAUGAAAAGAACUUUGGAAAGAGAGUUAAACAGUACGUGAAAUUGCUGAAAGGGAAACGCUUGAAGUCAGUCGCGUUGGCCGGGGAUCAGCCUCGCUCUUUUGCGUGGUGUACUUUCUGGUUGACGGGUCAGCAUCAAUUUUGACCGCUGGAAAAAGGCUUGAGGAAUGUGGCAGCUCCGGCUGUGUUAUAGCUUCAUGUCACAUACAGCGGUUGGGAUUGAGGAACUCAGCACGCCGCAAGGCCGGGUUUCGACCACGUUCGUGCUUAGGAUGCUGGCAUAAUGGCUUUA
rnacentral:rRNA from 2 species